AGCGAACGCUGGCGGCGUGCUUAACACAUGCAAGUCGAGUGCGCGGUUCGUAGCAAUACGAACUGGCGCACGGCGCACGGGUGAGGAACACGUGGGCAACGUGCCCUCCGAUGGGGAAGUAACCCGCCGAAAGGCGGGCUAAUACCGCAUACGAUUCCGGGGACCGUCGGUUCCUGGACUGAAAGCCCGCAAGGGCGUCGGUGGA
rnacentral:rRNA from 1 species